UGAUCAGCAUUUGAUCCUCUUUGGGCAAAGUCCAAGAAGACUUGAAGAACCUGAAGUGUACGAGGGGAGGAGGGGGAAAAGAUACUUGGAAGAAGCAGCCGUCUGAAGAACAACUUUUAUAAACAGGAUGUCUGCCGUACCCAACCGGAGGGGCUGUUUACAGCUACAGUAUGAGAACUUAUAUGUAAAAGGGAAGGAAGCGGGCUCGCUUCCUUUUUCUCGUUCUUCUUUCCUUUCGCUACUAACUUAUCUCACCAACAUCCCCAGCCCGAGGACUCCUCCAAUCACCUGGCUCUUCCUACCCCGGAUCAAGCUACCGCCUUCUGAGAAGGGCCCUGCCCUCCCGCGGGAGGAGAUGGUGGGGAAGCAAAAUGGAGCGGAAGGGAGGGCAGGAUAUAUCUCUGUUCCAAGAUUUCAACCGAAGGUGAUUGUACCCGACGUCAGCCUCUGUCUUUUACCGCAUCACCAGGGAGUAGCGCAUUAAAAACAUAAGGAAGAAUUGCGACUUGGCUUAUAAAAUGUUUUUCAAACUGUUGCCACUGCAGCUUCUAUCUUAAUCAAAUUCAGGAUUUACCUA